UACAUAGGGUGCAAGCGUUGUCCGGAAUUAUUGGGCGUAAAGAGCUCGUAGGCGGUGUGUCGCGUCGGCCGUGAAAACCUGCAGCUUAACUGUGGGCUUGCGGUCGAUACGGGCAGGCUAGAGUUCGGUAGGGAGACUGGAAUUCCCGGUGUAGCGGUGAAAUGCGCAGAUAUCAGGAGGAACACCGAUGGCGAAGGCAGGUCUCUGGCCGAUACUGACGCUGAGGAGCGAAAGCGUGGGAGCGAACAGG
rnacentral:rRNA from 1 species